UUGUGAACAAAUUGUUAUAAAUAUUUAUGUUUAUGUAGUUAGCUCAUUGAGUCUCGAAAAUGAAUCGAGACUGUUGGCACCGAGUUAGCGGUGGGGAGAACUCUGAUAUAUUAAUGUUGUUGUGGUGAUUUAUGGUUGAAAAUUUUGGAGAUUGAAUAUGGGUGAUUAAUGUUUGGAAAUUUUGGUGAUUCAUGUUUGGUG
rnacentral:lncRNA from 1 species